GACGCCGCCGCCGCCACCGCCUCCACCGGCACCGGCAUGUCCCGCCGGAGACUCGUUACCCUGUACUGUGGAGAGAGAGAGAGAGAACGAGAAGAGGAAGAGAGACGGUAACAAGUACCGACAGCUUGCAGCAGACUGUCCGUGUCCCGAGCCUCCAACCCAUCAUCGGCGGGGAAUUGAAGGAAAACGGACGGAAGCGAACGCUUGCAUCGACGUGCUACGUGCUGUCUCCUGUGUGUGGCUAGUAAACAAAGAUGGCCAUCGCGAGGCUUGAGCGGAGAGAAGCGAUAAGAAGCGACCCCCUGAUGCUGAUUAAGGGCCGGCGAGCGGUACACGCUGUUGAGACUAGUGAUGGGUAAAGUUGGCAAACAUCCGGAGAUGACUCCGAUCCGACUCCAACAAUUUCGGCACCGACUCUGGAAGUAAGUUCCGCUCAGCAUAAUCCGGAGCCGUUUGGAAUCAUCCGGAGCCUCUCGGAGCCUCUUGAAGUCGUCAGGAUUCAUCUGGAGUCGUCCAGAGUCAUCCGGAGUCGUCCAGACACAGAGAGUGACGUAUCAGACAAUGAUAUUCAUUGAUAAUCUAAUAAAAAGACGUCUACCUUCAUAUCCUA